rnacentral:lncRNA from 1 species
AUGAAAUCUAAGAAAGCUGGUAGCUCGAGCGAGGAGCGGAGCCUAGCCCUAUAGCUAUAGGCUAUAUAAUAUUCUAUUUCCUCCGCUUUGAAUAGUUAGAAUCAAACUCAUUGCUCAUUCAUUAAGAGCUCUUGUCGGUAAAGUAGAUCUAGAUCGAGAGAGAGAAUUGGCUUCUCGAGAAUCCGCUGGAGUCAGAUCAGUAGGGGAGUUCACACCGGGACUUUCUUAAUAGAGAAAGAACCCAUACCCUGAACCGGGGAAAGGCGAUAACGACCCAGGAAAUGGUGAAGUACGUGAAUCGACUCCCUCUUCGAGUCCAGACCUUUUAACAUAAAAUAAAGAAUAAGGGACUGACUUCUUUCUUGACAAGGAUCCUGAAUAAAUCGCACAUGCUCCAAGGACUUCACGGAAUUAGGAGGCACACAGGUGGGUAUACCAAGAGAAAUGCGGGUAAGCGACGAGGGAAAUUGCCUCAACAAAACAAGUUUUUAUUUCCAGAAAGAUCCCCACGCUGAGGGAUGAACCUCGCCAAAUGAUCUUAUGGAUCACCCAUCCCAUCUUUU